CUGCCGCGUGCAGGAAGACGGCCCUAUGGGUUGUAAACUGCUUUUAUACGGGAAGAAACACUCCUUCGUGAAGGAGCUUGACGGUACCGUAAGAAUAAGGAUCGGCUAACUCCGUGCCAGCAGCCGCGGUAAUACGGAGGAUCCAAGCGUUAUCCGGAAUCAUUGGGUUUAAAGGGUCCGUAGGCGGGACAAUAAGUCAGCGGUGAAAGUCUGUGGCUCAACCAUAGAAUUGCCAUUGAUACUGUUGUUCUUGAGUGUUUAUGAAGUGGUUGGAAUAUGUAGUGUAGCGGUGAAAUGCAUAGAUAUUACAUAGAACACCGAUUGCGAAGGCAGAUCACUAAUAAAAUACUGACGCUGAUGGACGAAAGCGUAGGUAGCGAACAGGAUUAGAUACCCUGGUAGUCUACGCCGUAAACGAUGGUUACUAGCUGUUCGGAAGCAAUUCUGAGUGGCUAAGCGAAAGUGAUAAGUAACCCACCUGGGGAGUACGUUCGCAAGAAUG
rnacentral:rRNA from 1 species